GUACCCAACAGCGGGCAUCCAUCGUUUACUGUGCGGACUACCAGGGUAUCUAAUCCUGUUUGAUACCCGCACCUUCGAGCUUAAGCGUCAGUUGCGCUCCCGUCAGCUGCCUUCGCAAUCGGAGUUCUUCGUCAUAUCUAAGCAUUUCACCGCUACACGACGAAUUCCGCCAACGUUGUGCGUACUCAAGGAAACCAGUAUGCGCUGCAAUUCAGACGUUGAGCGUCUACAUUUCACAACACACUUAAUCUCCAGCCUACGCUCCCUUUAAACCCAAUAAAUCCGGAUAACGCCUGGACCUUCCGUAUUACCGCGGCUGCUGGCACGGAAUUAGCCGGUCCUUAUUCGUAUGGUACCUGCAAAUAGGGACACGUCCCUAACUUUAUCCCCAUACAAAAGCAGUUUACAACCCAUAGGGCCGUCAUCCUGCACGCUACUUGGCUGGUUCAGACUUCCGUCCAUUGACCAAUAUUCCUCACUGCUGCCUCCCGUAGGAGUUUGGACCGUGUCUCAGUUCCAAUGUGGGGGACCUUCCUCUCAGAACCCCUACUGAUCGUUGCCUUGGUGGGCCGUUACCCCGCCAACAAGCUAAUCAGACGCAUCCCCAUCCAUUACCGAUAAAUCUUUACUUCAAAUCUGAUGCCGUCAUCGAAGACUAUGCGGUAUUAGUCUGCCUUUCGGCAGGUUAUCCCACAGUAAUGGGAAGGUUGGAUACGCGUUACUCACCCGUGCGCCGGUCGACGUCCAAAGAGUGCAAGCACUCAAUGCCGUUUCCCCUCGACUUGCAUGUGUUAAGCCUGUAGCUAGCGUUCAUCCUGAGCCAGGAUCAAACCCUG
rnacentral:rRNA from 1 species